UACAGAGGGUGCAAGCGUUGUUCGGAAUUAUUGGGCGUAAAGGGUGCGUAGGCGGGUCUUUAAGUCAGGGGGGAAAUCCUGGAGCUCAACUCCAGAACUGCCUUUGAUACUGAAGAUCUUGAGUUCGGGAGAGGUGAGUGGAACUGCGAGUGUAGAGGUGAAAUUCGUAGAUAUUCGCAAGAACACCAGUGGCGAAGGCGGCUCACUGGCCCGAUACUGACGCUGAGGCACGAAAGCGUGGGGAGCAAACAGG
rnacentral:rRNA from 1 species